GUCUGUGGACGAGAGGAGGAGGGAUGGGCAUGAGAGCCACAGACAUGUACUAAAAUUGGUACAAUACAGGAAAGAAUGGCAUAGCUCCUAGGCAAGGACAACACACAAAUUCAUAGAAGCAUUCUAUACGAAA
rnacentral:snRNA from 1 species